AACGAACGCUGGCGGCAGGCCUAACACAUGCAAGUCGAGCGAGAUCUUCGGGUCUAGCGGCGGACGGGUGAGUAACGCGUGGGAAUAUGCCUCUUGGUACGGAAUAGCCUCGGGAAACUGGGAGUAAUACCGUAUGUGCCCUUUGGGGGAAAGAUUUAUCGCCAAGAGAUUAGCCCGCGUUGGAUUAGGUAGUUGGUGGGGUAAUGGCCUACCAAGCCGACGAUCCAUAGCUGGUUUAAGAGGAUGAUCAGCCACACUGGGACUGAGACACGGCCCAGACUCCUACGGGAGGCAGCAGUGGGGAAUCUUAGACAAUGGGGGCAACCCUGAUCUAGCCAUGCCGCGUGAGUGAUGAAGGCCUUAGGGUUGUAAAGCUCUUUCAGCUGGGAAGAUAAUGACGGUACCAGCAGAAGAAGCCCCGGCUAACUCCGUG
rnacentral:rRNA from 1 species